GACGAGAGGUGCCAAGCGUUAGGCGGAAUCACUGGGCUUAAAGCGUGUGUAGGUGGAUGCCUAAGUACCUUGUGAAAUCCCACGGCUCAACCGUGGAACUGCUCGGUAUACUGGGUGUCUUGAGCCACUUAGGGGCUACCGGAACAAAUGGUGGAGCGGUGAAAUGCGUAGAUAUCAUUUGGAACGCCAAUGGUGAAAACAGGUAGCUGGGAGUGAUGCUGACACUGAGACACGAAAGCCAGGGGAGCGAACGGG
rnacentral:rRNA from 1 species